ACUGUGCUUUAAGAAAGAAAUAAACAUCUAUU
rnacentral:piRNA from 1 species